rnacentral:rRNA from 1 species
AUUGAACGCUGGCGGCAGGCCUAACACAUGCAAGUCGAGCGGAUGAAGGGUGCUUGCUCCUGGAUUCAGCGUCGCACGGGUGAGUAAUGCCUAUGAAUCUGCUUGGCAGUGGGUGAUAACGUCCGCAAACGGGCGCUACUACCGCAUACGUCCUGAGGGAGAAAGUGGGGGAUCUUCGGACCUCACGCUAUCAGAUGAGCCUAGGUCGGACUAGCUAGGUGGUGGGGUAGAGGCCUACUGAGGCGGCGAUUCGUAACUGGUCUGAGAGGAUGAUCAGUCACAGUGGAAGUGAGACGCGGUCCAGACUCCGACGGGAGGCAGAAGUGGGGAAGAUUGGAAGAAGGGCGAAAGCCUGAUCCAGCCGUGGCGCGUGUGUGAAGAAGGUCUGCGGAUGGUAAAGCACUUUAAGGUGGGAGGAAGGGCAGUAAGUUAAAACCUUGCUGUUUUGACGUUACCGACAGAAUAAGCACCGGCUAACUUCGU